rnacentral:rRNA from 1 species
UACGUAGGUGACCAGCGUUGUCCGGAUUUACUGGGCGUAAAGAGUGUGUAGGCGGUGUUCCCAGUCUGUUGUGAAAUCUCCCGGCUUAACUGGGAGGGUGCAGCGGAAACUAGAAUGCUAGAGGGUGGGAGAGGUAAGCGGAAUUCCUGGUGUAGCGGUGAAAUGCGUAGAUAUCAGGAGGAACACCUGUGGUGUAGACAGCUUACUGGACCACUUCUGACGCUGAGACACGAAAGCGUGGGUAGCAAACAGG